UCACUGGAUGUAAUGCAAUUGGUGUCUAUUUUUCAUAUUAAAAGUCUCAUGUUUAUCCUUAUUUUUGUUUCAUAUUUUUCUGAACAUUUUUCUUCUUCAUUGAGUUAUAAAUUUAACUUUUUGUCUCCUCCUGAGGGCAGUUUGUGAGGAAAUUCACCUGGCCGAUGAACCGAUAAGGAGUGAUGUAGGAAUGAAAAGAGGAAAAUGAGGAGGAGAAUGAUGUAUUUUAGCGCCACAUUGAAUUCUCCAUGACGGCAUCAUUGAGUGGCUUCUUGAUACUGACUCACUACUAUUUCUCUUGACUAUUCCAAUUCAGCAACUAUUUAUCAAUUUGCUAAAUGGAGGCUUAAUCGUGGAAUUUAACCACUUGGACACUUUUUCCUAGCAAGCUAGUUUUAAGAGUGAGUCGUGCCUUGUGUAGUUGUAACAAUUGGUAUCAUAGCAAGCAUUGUUCUACUCAAGAUCCUCACUGCAGACGAGGUGACUUGUGGAGGGCGACUUUCACCAGAAGGUUGGUUUAGUGAAGUCAUCUAGUUAAAAAUAUGGGUUACCAAGAACUCUAAUUCUAGAGUGUCGGAUUGUAAUGACUCUAAUUGUGUUUCAUAUUUUCAACGUAUGGCCAUUUAACCAAUAACUGCCAACAAAUGGUACAAAACAUUAAGAUAUGCUCAUUUUCUGACUA